rnacentral:rRNA from 1 species
GACGAAGGGGGCUAGCGUUGUUCGGAAUUACUGGGCGUAAAGCGAGUGUAGGCGGUUGCCCAAGUCAGGUGUGAAAGCCUUGAGCUCAACUCAAGAAAUGCACUUGGUACUGGGUGGCUAGAGGACCGGAGAGGAUAGUGGAAUUCCCAGUGUAGUGGUGAAAUACGUAGAGAUUGGGAAGAACACCAGUGGCGAAGGCGGCUAUCUGGACGGUUACUGACGCUAAGACUCGAAAGCGUGGGGAGCAAAC